GUCGAGCGGACAGAAGGGAGCUUGCUCCCGGAUGUUAGCGGCGGACGGGUGAGUAACACGUGGGUAACCUGCCUGUAAGACUGGGAUAACUCCGGGAAACCGGAGCUAAUACCGGAUAGUUCCUUGAACCGCAUGGUUCAAGGAUGAAAGACGGUUUCGGCUGUCACUUACAGAUGGACCCGCGGCGCAUUAGCUAGUUGGUGAGGUAACGGCUCACCAAGGCGACGAUGCGUAGCCGACCUGAGAGGGUGAUCGGCCACACUGGGACUGAGACACGGCCCAGACUCCUACGGGAGGCAGCAGUAGGGAAUCUUCCGCAAUGGACGAAAGUCUGACGGAGCAACGCCGCGUGAGUGAUGAAGGUUUUCGGAUCGUAAAGCUCUGUUGUUAGGGAAGAACAAGUGCAAGAGUAACUGCUUGCACCUUGACGGUACCUAACCAGAAAGCCACGGCUAACUACGUGCCAGCAGCCGCGGUAAUACGUAGGUGGCAAGCGUUGUCCGGAAUUAUUGGGCGUAAAGGGCUCGCAGGCGGUUUCUUAAGUCUGAUGUGAAAGCCCCCGGCUCAACCGGGGAGGGUCAUUGGAAACUGGGAAACUUGAGUGCAGAAGAGGAGAGUGGAAUUCCACGUGUAGCGGUGAAAUGCGUAGAGAUGUGGAGGAACACCAGUGGCGAAGGCGACUCUCUGGUCUGUAACUGACGCUUAGGAGCGAAAGCGUGGGGAGCGAACAGGAUUAGAUACCCUGGUAGUCCACGCCGUAUACGAUGAGUGCUAAGUGUUAGGGGGUUUCCGCCCCUUAGUGCUGCAGCUAACGCAUUAAGCAC
rnacentral:rRNA from 1 species